rnacentral:hammerhead_ribozyme from 1 species
AUCCAGCUGGUGAGUCCCAAAUUAGACGAAAUGUACGUCUUGGAU